rnacentral:rRNA from 1 species
UACGAAGGGGGCUAGCGUUGCUCGGAAUCACUGGGCGUAAAGCGCACGUAGGCGGCUUUUUAAGUCAGGGGUGAAAUCCUGGAGCUCAACUCCAGAACUGCCUUUGAUACUGGAAAGCUUGAGUCCGGAAGAGGUGAGUGGAACUCCGAGUGUAGAGGUGAAAUUCGUAGAUAUUCGGAAGAACACCAGUGGCGAAGGCGACUCGCUGGACAAGUAUUGACGCUGAGGUGCGAAAGCGUGGGGAGCAAACAGG